GGACAGGGGAGAGCAAGAAUGGCAGAAAAUAUUUGCACUGACCUGAACCUGCCUGAGCCAGCCAGACCCCGAGCCCAGCAGGUCACUGAUGUGCAAGAUAAAAGCUGCUGCUCCAGAAAACGUGUUAGUGUCGUAGUUGCUGUACUGAUCGUGAUAAACCUUGUCCAGUUCAUCGUCCUGUGUCGGAUAAUCAUGCACCAUCUGACUGGAUGCAGCCCCUGUAAUUCAACAACACAGUCCCCAAUCCCUGAAAAAAAGCCACUGGACCAUUCAACUGUAAGCAGCCCACAGGACUCAACAACCUUGCAUCAAGUCCCUAAAGAGCCCCCAGGCAGGUC